GUGAAUCAUCAAAUUUUUGAACGCAUAUUGCACUCUCUGGUAUUCCGGAGAGUAUGCCUGUUUGAGGGUAAUUAAAAAGCAUCUUUCACCAAUUUUUUUGGUCAAAGGAAAUGAGUUCUCUGCGUUUAUAGCGGUAGCUUGACAUAAAUGGUAUUCUCAUUUUAGUCGAGAUGCGUAUUAAUAUUAUUUCGCGAAAUCUUAAAUAUGUAACUAUUC
rnacentral:misc_RNA from 1 species